UUUGAUAAGAAUUAAAUGAUGAAGAUGAAGAAGGAAGGACUUGGAAUGAAGAAAGGGCGAGAAAAGAUGAAAAAGAGAAGUCACGUCCACCGCUCAGCGCCAACGCAGCGUUGAGCGCCAGAAUCGCCCAACGCUGAGCGUCACACGGAUCGCUGAGCGUCUUGCGAGGCCACCACUGAGCGGUAAUGAGCGCUGAGCGCCUAAAUGAUGGGCCUAGG
rnacentral:lncRNA from 1 species